UACGUAGGGGGCGAGCGUUGUCCGGAUUUAUUGGGCGUAAAGAGCUCGUAGGCGGCUUGGCAAGUCGGGUGUGAAACCUCCAGGCUCAACCUGGAGACGCCACUCGAUACUGCUAUGGCUAGAGUCCGGUAGGGGACCACGGAAUUCCUGGUGUAGCGGUGAAAUGCGCAGAUAUCAGGAGGAACACCGGUGGCGAAGGCGGGUCUCUGGGCCGUAACUGACGCUGAGGCGCGACAGCGUGGGGAGCAAACAGG
rnacentral:rRNA from 1 species